rnacentral:rRNA from 1 species
CCUACGGGAGGCAGCAGUGGGGAAUAUUGGACAAUGGGCGAAAGCCUGAUCCAGCAAUGCCGCGUGAGUGAUGAAGGCCCUAGGGUUGUAAAGCUCUUUUACCAGGGAUGCAGUACCUGGAGAAUAAGCCCGGCUAACUCCGUGCCAGCAGCCGCGGUAAUACGGAGGGGCUAGCGUUGUUCGGAUAUACUGGGCGUAAAGCGCACGUAGGCGGCGCCGUAAGUCAGGGGUGAAAUCCCGGAGCUCAACUCCGGAACUGCCCUUGAAACUGCAGUGCUAGAAUCUUGGAGAGGCGAGUGGAAUUCCGAGUGUAGAGGUGAAAUUCGUAGAUAUUCGGAAGAACACCAGUGGCGAAGGCGACUCGCUGGACAGAUUGACGCUGAGGUGCGAAAGCGUGGGGAGCAAACAGGAUUAGAUACCCUUGUAGUC